rnacentral:rRNA from 1 species
AACGGCCGUACCAUGCUGUAUAUACCGGUUCUCGUUAGAUCACCGAAGUUAAGCAUCAUUGGGCGCGGUCAGUACUUGGGUGGGUGACCACCUGGGAACACUGCGUGCCGUU